rnacentral:rRNA from 1 species
AUUGAACGCUGGCGGCAGGCCUAACACAUGCAAGUCGAGCGGAUGAAGGGAGCUUGCUCCUGGAUUCAGCGGCGGACGGGUGAGUAAUGCCUAGGAAUCUGCCUGGUAGUGGGGGAUAACGUCCGGAAACGGGCGCUAAUACCGCAUACGUCCUGAGGGAGAAAGUGGGGGAUCUUCGGACCGCACGCUAUCAGAUGAGCCUAGGUCGGAUUAGCUAGUUGGUGGGGUAAAGGCCUACCAAGGCGACGAUCCGUAACUGGUCUGAGAGGAUGAUCAGUCACACUGGAACUGAGACACGGUCCAGACUCCUACGGGAGGCAGCAGCGGGGAAUAUUGGACAAUGGGCGAAAGCCUGAUCCAGCCAUGCCGCGUGUGUGAAGAAGGUCUUCGGAUUGUAAAGCACUUUAAGUUGGGAGGAAGGGCAGUAAGUUAAUACCUUGCUGUUUUGACGUUACCAACAGAAUAAGCACCGGCUAACUUCGUG